rnacentral:rRNA from 1 species
AGCGAACGCUGGCGGCAGGCUUAACACAUGCAAGUCGAACGGGCGUAGCAAUACGUCAGUGGCAGACGGGUGAGUAACGCGUGGGAACGUGCCUUUUGGUUCGGAACAACUGAGGGAAACUUCAGCUAAUACCGGAUAAGCCCUUACGGGGAAAGAUUUAUCGCCAAAAGAUCGGCCCGCGUCUGAUUAGCUAGUUGGUGAGGUAAUGGCUCACCAAGGCGACGAUCAGUAGCUGGCUGAGAGGAUGAUCAGCCACACUGGGACUGAGACACGGCCCAGACUCCUACGGGAGGCAGCAGUGGGGAAUAUUGGACAAUGGGCGCAAGCCUGAUCCAGCCAUGCCGCGUGAGUGAUGAAGGCCUUAGGGUCGUAAAGCUCUUUUGUGCGGGAAGAUAAUGACGGUACCGCAAGAAUAAGCCCCGGCUAACUUCGUGCCAGCCGCCGCCGUAAC